AGUGGGCCAUUCCGGGUAAGCUGGACUGGCGAUGCGGGAUGAUCCGAACGCCGAGUUAAAGUGCCUCACUGCCCGCUCACCUAGAUCCCACAAAAGGUGUUGGUUCAUCCAGACAGCAGGACGGUGGCCAUGGAAGUCGGAACCCGCUAAGGAGUGUGUAACAACUCACCUGCCGAAUGAACUAGCCCUGAAAAUGGAUGGCGCUAAAGCGUGCGAC
rnacentral:rRNA from 1 species